rnacentral:rRNA from 1 species
UACGUAGGCAGCGAGCGUUGUUCGGAGUUACUGGGCGUAAAGGGUGUGUAGGCGGUUGUUUAAGUUUGGUGUGAAAGUCUCCCCGGCUCAACCGGGAGGGUGCGCCGAAUACUGAAUGACUAGAGUGCGGGAGAGGAAAGUGGAAUUCCCAGUGUAGCGGUGAAAUGCGUAGAUAUCGUAAGGAAGACCAGUGGCGAAGGCGGGUCUCUGGACAGUUCCUGACGCUGAGGCACGAAGGUCAGGGGAGACAAACGGG